rnacentral:rRNA from 1 species
AUCAUGGCUCAGAUUGAACGCUGGCGGCAUGCUUUACACAUGCAAGUCGAACGGUAACAGGUCUUCGGAUGCUGACGAGUGGCGAACGGGUGAGUAAUGUAUCGGAACGUGCCCAGUAGUGGGGGAUAACUACUCGAAAGAGUGGCUAAUACCGCAUGAGAACUGAGGUUGAAAGCGGGGGACCUUCGGGCCUCGCGCUACUGGAGCGGCCGAUAUCAGAUUAGGUAGUUGGUGGGGUAAAGGCCUACCAAGCCGACGAUCUGUUAGGCUGGUCUGAGAGGACGACCAGCCACACUGGGACUGAGACACGGCCCAGACUCCUACGGGAGGCAGCAGUGGGGAAUUUUGGACAAUGGACGCAAGUCUGAUCCAGCAAUGCCGCGUGCAGGACGAAGGCCUUCGGGUUGUAAACUGCUUUUGUACAGAACGAAAAGGCUCUGGUUAAUACCUGGGGCUCAUGACGGUACUGUAAGAAUAAGCACCGGCUAACUACGUG